AAGACUAUACUUUCAGGGAUCAUUUCUAUAGUUCUUAACUAGGAAAUGUGUUUCGAAAGUGUUGCGUCUCCCAAACCACGAUGAUGAAUUCUGAUACUCUUUUCUGAGCGUGAAUCGGGUGUAGAAUAAUGAUUUAUUUCAUAAGUUCUGCAUCAUUGAUGAACGUUCCGUACUGCGCUUUUGCAGUCUGGAGGAAAAGGGUAUGAUCAGAGUGGUU
ensembl:snoRNA